rnacentral:rRNA from 1 species
CCUACGGGAGGCAGCAGUAGGGAAUCUUCCACCAUGGGCGAAAGCCUGAUGGAGCAUCGCCGCGUGGGUGAAGAAGGUCUUCGGAUCGUAAAACUCUGUUGUUAGAGAAGAAAGUGCGUGAGAGUAACUGUUCACGUUUCGACGGUAUCUUACCAGAAAGCCACGGCUAACUACGUGCCAGCAGCCGCGGUAAUACGUAGGUUGCAAGCGUUAUCCGGAUUUAUUGGGCGUAAAGGGAACGCAGGCGGUCUUUUAAGUCUGAUGUGAAAGCCUUCGGCUUAACCGGGGUAGUGAAUUGGAAACUGGGCGACUGGAGUGCAGAAGAGGAGAGUGGAACGCAAUGUGUAGC